GAUGAACGCUGGCGGCGUGCCUAAUACAUGCAAGUCGAGCGAACAGACGAGGAGCUUGCUCCUCUGACGUUAGCGGCGGACGGGUGAGUAACACGUGGAUAACCUACCUAUAAGGCUGGGAUAACUUCGGGAAACCGGAGCUAAUACCGGAUAAUAUAUUGAACCGCAUGGUUCAAUAGUGAAAGACGGUUUUGCUGUCACUUAUAGAUGGAUCCGCGCCGCAUUAGCUAGUUGGUAAGGUAACAGCUUACCAAGGCAACGAUGCGUAGCCGACCUGAGAGGGUGAUCGGCCACACUGGAACUGAGACACGGUCCAGACUCCUACGGGAGGCAGCAGUAGGGAAUCUUCCGCAAUGGGCGAAAGCCUGACGGAGCAACGCCGCGUGAGUGAUGAAGGUCUUCGGAUCGUAAAACUCUGUUAUUAGGGAAGAACAAAUGUGUAAGUAACUAUGCACGUCUUGACGGUACCUAAUCAGAAAGCCACGGCUAACUACGUG
rnacentral:rRNA from 1 species